rnacentral:rRNA from 1 species
GACAGAGGUGCCGAGCGUUAGGCGGAAUCACUGGACUUAAAGCGUGUGUAGGCGGGCGGGCAAGUACCUUGUGAAAUCCCACGGCUCAACCGUGGAACGGCUGGGUAUACUGCCUGUCUUGAGCCAACUAGGGGCGAGCGGAACAGACGGUGGAGCGGUGAAAUGCGCAGAUAUCAGGAGGAACACCGGUGGCGAAGGCGGGUCUCUGGGCCGUAACUGACGCUGAGGAGCGAAAGCGUGGGGAGCGAACAGG